GCGUUGUCCGGAAUCAUUGGGCGUAAAGAGCUCGUAGGCGGUUUGGUAAGUCGGAUGUGAAACCUCCAGGCUCAACCUGGAGCCGCCAUCCGAUACUGCCAUGACUAGAGUCCGGUAGGGGCCCACGGAACUCCUGGUGUAGCGGUGAAAUGCGCAGAUAUCAGGAAGAACACCGAUGGCGAAGGCAGUGGGCUGGGCCGGCACUGACGCUGAGGAGCGAAAGCGU
rnacentral:rRNA from 1 species